UUCGCAAUGCCCGAAAGGGUGACGAAGCGACGCCGCGUGGGUGAGGAAGGCCUUCGGGUUGUAAAGCCCUGUCAGGAGUUAAGAAAUGUAGACUCGCUAAUAUCGGGUCUAUUUGACAAAGGCUCCAAAGGUAGCCACGGCUAACUCUGCGCCAGCAGCCGCGGUAAUACAGAGGUGGCAAGCGUUGUUCGGUAUUAUUGGGCGUAAAGAGCACGUAGGUGGUUUUGUAAGUCAGAUGUGAAAGCCUUCUGUUCAAAGGAAGAACGGCAUCUGAAACUGCAGAUCUUGAGUGUAGGAGGGGAGAGUGGAACUUCUGGUGGAGCGGUGAAAUGCGUAGAUAUCAGAAGGAACGUCGGCGGCGAAAGCGACUCUCUGGCCUAUUACUGACACUGAGUGUGCGAAAGUUAGGGGAGCAAACGGGAUUAGAUACCCCGGUAGUCCUAGCCGUAAACGAUGGGCACUAAGUAGAGGGGUUUU
rnacentral:rRNA from 1 species